AGACGUGCGCUCUCCCGAUUUAAAAAUCCCAGUGUGUGUGAAAUUUUAACUCACACAAAUAAUUUUUAUUAUUUAUCGAAUACGCUGUCUUCCAAACUUAAUGUAGGUAUUAACUCAAUUUGUAACCCAUCUGCGAUUUAGGUUCAAAUGAGGAACACCGAUCUUACGUUCCAUAAUAGAAUACCUUUUUUUUAUCAGUCAAGAAAAUCCACUAGCCUUAAUAAGGAGGCGCGACUGCAAGUAGAAAUCAAAGUAUCGGGUAUUAUGUGCAAUCUUUGGUGAUGGUACGGGAUUUAUUUUAAGUUUAGUUAUAAUAUUAGUAGUAACGAUUAACUUAAGUUGAUAAACAUUUGUAAUGUUAAUAAAAUUAUUGUGAGUUUCAUUUCAAAUCAGCGUUAAUUUUAUUUAAUUGGCUUGUCGGAUGGUGCUAAAUAUAUGUAUUCAAAUUUUCACUGACUUGAAACGAAACGAUUAUGAUUCGGAUGACUGUUUUUGUCCAAAUCAUAAAUAAAUCAAUGCCAAUAAGGUCUUGAAAUAACUCAACAUAAGGAAUAAGGAAUCUCUUUCCUCGUUUAGUGAUAUUAGCUUCUAAUCGUCUCUCAAAAUAAUAACACAAAUCAUGUCACAAGUUUUAUGUGUUAUGUACUUAAUGUUAUAUUUUGUCUUUGUUGGUACUUACGAUGAUAUUUUUUUGUAAACUUUGCGAUAUCCUCCAAGGAGUUGCAACCAAAAGUCGUACCAAGUUUAAAUGCAUUUUUAGAUUUAUUUAUAUAAUUUAAAUUAUAGAAUUGUUUGGAUACAGUCUGUGCUGUGAGUGUGUUUGAGAAUUAUAUAAUUGUUUAAUUAAGUUAUUAUGUGCGUUGAUUGUUACAGCAUAACUAAACAUCGAGGUAAAUAUUGUGAAUCGCUUUUAUUCUGAAAGUAAUUUUUAUUUUGUGUAAUACUACUAUGCUCAAUUUUUUGAUUAAAUUGCGCUUUCACAGCGAAGCUUGUGGGUACAAUGAGAAAUUGUAAAUAUGUCUAAAUUAGUGAAUAGAAGUAAAAUUAGUAAAAAUAAUUUUAUCUAAAUACUUUAGUAGUACCUAAUUAGUGUAUAUGAGAUUUUAAAAAAAGUUAAAAUUGUUAUAGUAUUUUUUACGAUUGGAUAGGAAUUGAGAGAUCUGAACGUUUAUUUAAUAUAUCGGCUUAUCGUAUGAUUUUGUUCCAUGAUAUUGUGAUAGCGCAAUGCCUUGGUUUAACCUACACGUCUUUUGCAUUUAUUAGCAUUUUGAGUCCAAUCUCAAGUUGUAGUUUCAUGUUUUUUGGAAACUCUCUUGUUAUUCUGUACUGAUAAGCAAUAUAUACAAAUUAAAACAUU